UGAUGUCACUGGAUACGAUGAAUGAAGAAGCAAAUACGCGUCUUCAAAUGACUCUCUCGCUGUUCCGGGAUGUUCAGAUUUGAUCCUCCUUGAUAAGAAUUCACAUGGCAGGGUGGUAUUAUUAAGGAACUGAGAUCACUCCUCUAUACUUCAUAAUGGUCAGAUGUCAUCCUUGAUAAGUGCUUGUGGUGUAGCGAACCAACUUAUUAGCCUAUGAGCGAAAAAUGCAAAUGAGCAAGAUGGGAAGUGGCAAAGUGCCCAGGCGACACCAUCAAUGAAUCAACAAUGAUGCAUCACCAUUGUUAUGCUCUGUAAGCCAUGUGAAUUGGUUUCAUGGAGCAGCUAGACGAGGUGGCUACUGCUUGUACCUGCUAUAGCGAUUACUAAAGGAAGUCAUUGGUGUUGAAGUGUUUUUGGCUUUUUGCUCAAAAUUGUAGCUGCAAUUAGAUUCUUGGGAAUGAUCAUCCUUCUACUCACAUCUGUUUUGUCAUGAAGACCACCAAUGCUGGGUGAAUUCCAUCAAAACUGCAUGUGAUUGAGCUUGGUACCCAAUCAGGUCUGCUAAAGAACAACCCUAAAGAUUAAGGUCCUUGUCCUCCUAUUUUUUACAAUUAGUCAUAUAUGAACUU